rnacentral:misc_RNA from 1 species
AGCUAUGCGGAAGAUGAAGAAUGAAUUCAUGGUUAAUUGGGAUGGUUUGCGUACAAAAGAUAAGGAACGGGUUCUUGUACUUGCUGCAACAAAUAGACCCUUUGACCUGGAUGAAGCAGUUAUUAGGAGGCUUCCCCGUAGGUUAAUGGUAAACUUGCCAGAUGCUUCAAAUAGGGAGAAAAUUUUGGGAGUUAUUUUGGCGAAGGAAGAAUUAGCCCCAAAUGUCGAUUUAGAAGCUAUUGCUACUAUGACGGACGGGUAUUCAGGGAGUGAUUUGAAGAAUUUGUGUGUGAGCGCUGCGCAUUGCCCUAUUAGAGAAAUUUUGGAGAAGGAGAAGAAGGAGAAAACAUUGGCAAUUGCAGAGAGCAGGCCAUCACCGGCUUUGCAUAGUAGUGCAGACAUUCGUCCUCUUAACAUGGAUGAUUUUAAGUAUGCACAUGAGCAGGUAUGUGCCAGUGUGUCAUCAGAGUCUUCAAAUAUGAAUGAGCUUCUCCAGUGGAAUGAUUUAUAUGGAGAAGGAGGAUCAAGAAAGAAAACAUCUCUCAGUUACUUCAUGUAGAGGAGAUAUGUUUAACUAUAUAGCAAGGCAUUGGUUUAUUUGUUUUCCUGUUCUGCAACCCGCGAUAACAGCAUUGCGUGGAUAAUCCAUUUCAGGUUCCCCAAAGUCCAAUUGGCCUUGGCCCCUGACCCCCCCUUUUGUAUCAUACUUAGUUGAUAGGAUUUUUUUCCAGUUGCAAGUCCUGAAGUCUCACCCAAUUUUUCUCAUUUUUAGCUCUCUUCUCUGUACAUAUGAGUUGAGUAAUUUAAGAAAAAG